AUUGAACGCUGGCGGCAGGCCUAACACAUGCAAGUCGAGCGAGCGGCGGACGGGUGAGUAAUGUAUGGGGCUCUGCCCGAUGGAGGGGGAUAACUACUGGAAACGGUGGCUAAUACCGCAUACCAUCGGAUGAGCCCAUAUGGGAUUAGCUAGUAGGUGGGGUAAAGGCUCACCUAGGCGACGAUCCCUAGCUGGUCUGAGAGGAUGAUCAGCCACACGGGGACUGAGACACGGCCCAGACUCCUACGGGAGGCAGCAGUGGGGAAUAUUGCACAAUGGGCGCAAGCCUGAUGCAGCCAUGCCGCGUGUAUGAAGAAGGCCUUAGGGUUGUAAAGUACUUUCAGCGGGGAGGCGUUACCCGCAGAAGAAGCACCGGCUAACUCCGUGCCAGCAGCCGCGGUAAUAC
rnacentral:rRNA from 1 species